UUACCGAGUUUACAACUCCCAAACCCCUGUGAACAUACCUAUAUGUUGCCUCGGCGGAUCAGCCCGCGCCCCGUAAAACGGGACGGCCCGCCGCAGGAACCUAAACUCUGUUUUUAUUGGAACAUCUGAGUAAAAAAACAAAUAAAUCAAAACUUUCAACAACGGAUCUCUUGGUUCUGGCAUCGAUGAAGAACGCAGCAAAAUGCGAUAAGUAAUGUGAAUUGCAGAAUUCAGUGAAUCAUCGAAUCUUUGAACGCACAUUGCGCCCGCCAGUAUUCUGGCGGGCAUGCCUGUUCGAGCGUCAUUUCAACCCUCAAGCCCAGCUUGGUGUUGGGAGCUGUCUGUCUCAGACACUCCCCAAAUUGAUUGGCGGUCACGUCGAGCUUCCAUAGCGUAGUAAUUUACACAUCGUUACUGGUAAUCGUCGCGGCCACGCCGUUAAACCCCAACUUCUGAAUGUUGACCUCGGAUCAGGUAGGAAUAC
rnacentral:rRNA from 1 species